GCCUGGGUGGCUCAGUCAGUUGAGCAUCUGACUUCAGCUCAGGUCAUGAUCUCACGGUUUGUGGGUUCGAGCCCCGCAUUGGGCU
rnacentral:tRNA from 1 species